rnacentral:lncRNA from 1 species
AUUACUGGCCUUUUUCUUGGAUUUCCUUAUGGUAGGUGAGCCACUGGUCUUUCACAGUCAUCAAAUACAUGCCAUAAAAUAUUUUUGUCAGUACUGGAAACUUUUCAUGUUAUUAUUGUACAAUAAUGAGAAUGUCUGGUGUAUUUGACUUAAAGCCUUGUUUGCAUACCAUGAAUUUACAUGCAUUCUAUUUACAUCUAUUUUGUUUCAUCCUUCAUAACUGCUUUAUUUCAUAACUCUUCUUCAGGAAGGCUUUUGAAGGGCUUGAGAUGCUGUCUUUAGUUAAAGCAAAUCUCGCUUUAGAUAAAUAGGAUUUAUUAUUCCUUUCAAAUUUAAUUACUUUGCAAAAUCAUGAUCAAUUUCCUGCCCUGCUUGCUUGAGGGGAGUAACACUUUUGGAGACCCUUAUGCAUUUGCUUUGUAAUAAGCCUUUCUUCAUAUUCUUUAUGCUAUACAAUCAGCUCCCCCCUCAACACCAGUGUCAGUGCCUGUGUGUAUGGCUGCAGUCGGAGGCCUGCAGAUUGGAAUGCUGAUGAUGGGACGCAGAAGUGCUGAGGAAUGAAUGUGUGCAUGGGAGAUUUUCACAGCUGGACUUCCUCAAGUGGACCACAUGGAAGGAAUGGGCUUUUCAUUUUUUCCACAAAAGAAAUGGAGAAAAAUGGAAAAUUCUACUUAAAAAUAUGGAGAAAACAGAGAAAUCCAUAUUCAAAGAUCUAUUCUUGAACAUAGGAAAAGUUCAAGUCCUGAACACAAGGUACCUUUUAGACACUCAGAUUUGAAGUACAACUAAAUAUUCAUAAAUAAUGAAAAACAAAUAUUAACAACAUUGGAUUCAAUUACAUUUCCAUUGGGCUUUUUUGUCUCACAGACUGUAGUGUCUUAACUGAGGCAGUAAAGACUAUCAAAAAAACUUGACUUUUAAUCUUUCUUGAAUCUCUCCUAUAAUGUUCUUGAAGCAGAAGUCAAGUGAGGGCUUCAGAGAAUCUAAGGAUAGAAAGCAACAAUUUGUCAAUAACAGUUUUUUUUUUUCCUUCUGUGCUUUUUAUAUUCACUGAAAGUGUUCACAAGUUGAAUUUUGUAUCUGUUGAACUAUCUUCUAUCAUUUCCUUUUGGCUAAAGGAGUGCACUCUGACAGGAAGCUUUUCCUGUUGACUUGAUCUAAAUUUAAAUUACUGCAUACCUCAAACCAUGAGAUGUGCUUUCCCAAAUGUCUGACAUUUGAGUCCAGGAAUAGGGCGGCACAUCUGUGAAACUGGAUGAAGAGUUUUGCUCUCUGCAGAAGGAUAAGGAUUGCUAAACUCUAAAUGCCCAUUUGAAAAGUAUGCCAGCUUCAAAGGAGCAAACAUUUCUGCAGAAGGAUUGUACAGAAAUAAACAUUAAAGUUCGAAUAGACUUACUAAUACA